rnacentral:lncRNA from 1 species
GCUUAAGUUUUGUUAUUGAUUCCAUGUAUUCAUGUGUGUACAAUGGUCAGGAUCAUACAUCAACUUCACAGAGGUACAGGUGCCAAGAUUGUUUGAAGUACAUUAUUUUUGGGUAUGUCUGACAGUGUUUCUGGUGACUAAUGCUGGUUGAGUAUUGGCUUUUUUUUUUUUUAAAUAAAAAAGGCUAUACAGAAAGUAAUGUGUUUCAUUAUGACAUUUUCAUAUAUAUAUGUCAGUAUAUUUUGUUCUUAUUUUUGCCCUCUGCUCAAGGACUAGCUCUUGAGCUGGUAGACAGAAUGAAGAUGAUCUGCCUCAGGGAUGUGGGAGACUCAUCCUAUGUGUUGAGGGAAAUUUUGAAUAAAACAUAAAGGAAAAUGGUAAAUUCAACUUCUUCAUCCAGCUUAGGACACAGCAUUCCUAGUCGUUGGGCUUUCAGACUGAGGCUUGCAUUCACACAAUCAUCUUGUUAGGUCCUCAGGCCUUCACACUUGGGCUUAUUUCCACCACCAUCUUGGGCCUGGUGUUCAAUUCCCAGGGUCUCCAGUUGUCAGUGAUAGGUGGUGAGAUUUCCUAAGCACAUGAGACAAAACCUGAAGUAAAUAUUUCCUUCCCUGUUAUAUAACACAUAAUAUAUACAUGCAUGUAUGAAUACAUGUGUGUUAUAUAUGUAUAUACAUGCACUGAUAUGCACAUGUACAUACAUUCAUUUUUUAAUUUUUUUUUAUUUUUUGGUUUUUUGAGACAGGGUUUCUCUGUGUAGCUUUGGAGCCUAUCCUGGCACUCACUCUGCCUCCCGAGUGCUGCGAUUAAAGGCGUGUGCCACCAACGUCCGGCCAUUCAUGUCAUAUUAAGGUAUGAAUAUACACAUAUAUUCAUGUUUCGUUGAUGUAUAUGACAUAGUGAAACGUAUUCUGCUGAUUAAAGUGUAUUGAGAUAUCAAAACCAUUGAUCUUACAGUUGUUGCAAAAGCACAUUCAGUGACUUAUUUUUCCAUGUUUCAGGUUUAUUUGUACAAAUAGUACUAGAGGACAUCAGCCCCAUGUGUACCUCACAAGCCAGGAGUUAUAAAAGUCCUUCUGUCCUCACCUUGGUAAAUAUAAAGAGUCUUUAUGUGGAGCCCUCGUGGUGGGUUGGACACCUUGUGGGAGCCUGUGCCCAGAGCUGGAGCUAGUCUCCAGACAUACACGAUCAAACAUCUGGUGAAAUGCUAUUUUAGUACACAGGUGUUCUCCUUGGCCAUAAGCUAAACAUCUGGAUGGAAGAUAUUUUCUUCAGUUUCCACCAGAUGUUCGGUGUUACAGAAUAGACACAGGCAUGUAAUUAAAGUAACUUGUGAGUGAAAUGCUGAGUUAACACAUAACUUGAGGCUAAUCUUCCAUCCAUCCUGAAUGUGACCACAAAUAAGUCCACCACUAUCAUUACAGCUGCAUAUCUACUAAUGAACGCCCUAAGAAGGGCCAGGAAUUCACAUCUCCGGCCAUUCAUCUGGUAACUGUAACUUGUCCCUUCCAUUCUUGGGAUUCAGCUGAAGUGUCACAAGGGAAUUGUUUUCUAUCUAUGGCCUUAGGGGCUAAGAGCUGUCUUACAGAUCUUUGUAAAGGCACACAUUUUUUUUCCCUGCAUUGGCUCCAGGUUUCUGCCUCUCAGUUCUAACUUCUAAUUGGAAAAAACUAGGCACAUAUCUCUACUACUUCUUGAAUAGAUACUUCAACAAAAUAGCUUUGGUUUAAGACUGUAACCAUAUUGGGUUAUAGUACCAACUCAGUUUGUCAAGCUGGUGCUCUUCAUGGAGGGAAGUGGAUCUUUUAAAGUCUGAAAGCUCUGUCAUGGUUUUAAAAUGCUCGAUAUUAGUAAUCAAUGAUUCACAUAUAAAUCCCUUUUUAAUUACUCUGCUGUUUACUUUUCAGCUCUUCUUUAAGGCAGAGCUCAAGUCCCACCCAGUCCUGGAAGCUGCUAAGCAUUUCCUUUGCAGUGUUUUGCUGUGCUUCAUUGUUUACUGUCUGUAUGACGCUGGCAUUUGCAGCUAUGAUAGAAUAUUCCACAAUCAAUGUAAAUAUAAAGAUGUAUGGGGGACACAAAAAGAGAUUCCUCUGUGGCUAAAAGUUCCUUUCGCACCCAUACUGGGUGCCGCACAAGCAUCUGUGACUCCAGCUCCAGGGGUAUGUAGUUCUCCCUGGAGCACCUAUACUCGUGUGCACAUAGCCUUGCACAGAAUCAAUCACACAUAAUUAAAAAUAAAGCUUUAUUAUUAUUAUUAUUGUUAUUACUAUUUAGCUCACGUUUCUGGUCAUUCAAGAGCAGGUUCCAGCAACUGUUGGGUUCAGGGCAGGACUUCUGGUCACAUCACAAUAAGGCCAAUGGCAUUAGUGUAGGAAGUCAUACAAGAAGAAGGGAUAACAAUGACAAGAUAGGAAGCCAGACAAGUUCAGGGGACAAGCUUGCUUUUCUUUCCUCUUCUUUCUUAUGACAACCCACUAUAUUUGUAACUAAUCAGGGUCCCAAAAGAACUCCAUUAACUCUCAAAGAUGCCAACUAAGACUAAAUAAGCUUUUAUUAGGUCCUACCUCUGCAAAGUUCUACUCUGUCUGCACUGCCACCCUGGCACCAAGUUUCCCAGCACAUGAGCCUAUGGUAGGAGCUGGGGUAGGAGUGGAUGGACAUUACCAUACACAUACGCUGAAGCUAUAGGCAAACUAGCCUCACUUUGUGGCUGUUUGGCUCUGUGUUUGACUGAUAAGUGCCAUAUCAAUGAAACAAGCACCCAUCUCCUCCUGGUGAAUAAUUGUCCAGAUCUGGACUUGGCUGUGGGCUUCCAAGCUGUGUUGAGCAGAAAGGUACACGGCACUUGGCUUUCAAAGUAUACUCAGUGAAUUGGACUCAACUAGAUGUUUGCUUCCUUCCCACAACUGCGCUAUCUGAGCAGGAUGCCUUGUGGUCCUUAAAGAUGGUAUAUAUAGAUGUUGCCUGUAUGUAUGUCUGUCUACCACAUAUAUGCCUAAUGCCCAUGGAAGUCUGGAAAGGGUGUCAGAUUCCCUGGAACUAGAGUUACAAAUAAUUGUGAACCUCCAUAUGGGUGCUGGAAAUAGAACCCAGGUCCUUUGGAAGAGCAGCAAGUACUUUUAACCACCGAGCCAUCUCUGAAGACCCUGAUUUGGACAUUAAAACAAUUUCAUAUUGGGCUGGGCAUGGCGAUCCAUGCCUUUAAUCUCAGCAUUUGUAAGGCAGAGGCAGGUGGAUCUCUGUGAGUUUGAGGCCAGCCAUAUCAUAAUAGUGAGUUCCAUACCAGCCAGAGUUACACAGUCAGACUCUGUCUUAAAAAAAAUGUAUAUUUUUUUUGGAGUGGAGAAAUGGCUCAGAGGGUAAGAGUUCCUGCUGCUCUUGCAGAAGACACAAGUUUGAUUUCCAGCCCCCAUACCCAAUAGAUUAUGGCUGCCAUCAAUGCCAGCAGAUCUGAUGCACUUUUCUGGUCCCCUAGGAACCCCCCCCCCCCACCUAGCAAUCACCCACACAGGCACAUACACAGUAAACAGGAAACUUUUGAAAGGCUUAUUCUUUAUUAGUGUGUGCACCUGUGUGCAUGAUGUAUGCGUGGGGCAGGGUGCGUGAGCAAUGGCAUGUAUGUGGAAGUCAGAGGAUUUCUUCCAGAGGUCAGUGUUAGCCUUCCAUGUCCAGGAAUGGAACUCAGGUCAUUAGGCCCAAGUGGCAUGCAUCUUUAGCCAUCAAGUCAGCCUGUCUGCUCCUUAAGCUGGAUUCCUAAGAAUCUAGUAAUUGAACUUAAGAACUAGAAAAGACGUUUUUAUUGUUAUUAUAUUUCUUUGAACUCUUGACCUUUUUCAAAUAGCACAUUUAAACUGUGGUGUUUUAAAUUUGAACAUGAAUUAUGUCAUUUUCAUAUUUUGUGAGCACUGAAUUCCAGAAACGCUGCUCUUAUGUGUCUAUUUCUUACAUGUCACAUAUGCUCCUUUGAGGGUGAAUAUUUAAAUCACGAGGAUCAAAUUAUUUUGAAAAAUAAACAUUUUUGAAAAAAACUAAGAAAUUAUAUAGCAAUUGUAGGAAAAUGAUCUUCAGUGUAACUUGAUAUAUGGAUUUUUAAAAAAUCUUCAAAUACUGUGCUUAUGGUAUCAUGGAUUGGGAAUUCAGUGCUUUCUUUUUGAAAUAUUGUGGAAUUAACAACUAAAAAUUUCAAGGAGUUUAUAUAAAAUUCCUAAUAGUGCUAUGAAGCAAAUCCCUGAAAUCACAUGCAAAAAGUAUCCCAGAUUUUAUGUUGAUAAAAAUGAAAUCUAUAAUCAACUAUUACUUUUAAAUAGAAAAAGUACCUUGCAUUAUACAUGGAAAUCAUUAGGCAAGCAGAAUAGAUGGUAUGAGGAGCAAAUAGGAACACUCCAGAAGAAAAGGAAGUAACUUAUUCAAAGAUAACUCUUGGCACUUUGAGAAUUCCUUUGGGUUUUAUGCAUGAUACCAUUGAGGUGUUCACAUAAAAAUUUAAUUUUCUCUUACCUUCAAUGUGUGUCAUGAAUCGUGUCCACUGUCACACUGAGGUUCACAAUAAACAAAGAUCCACAUAUGAACAAGUGUUUAUGUGAUCUGAUGCAGGUGCUGUUAAAGAUGACAGGGCAAGUGAUAAGAUUGCUCCAGUUUCUCAGUCAGGAAAAAGAAUACACCAGGAUGUUUCAUGGAUAAUGACUCUUAUCUAUCAUAACAUCUUCUUUCUGCUUUUCAACCAACAGAUUCUCUUCUCCAGCCCAGAACUUCAAUAUAGCAAACAGAAGAUUCGGGGCCUUGGACUCUGGGUGGAUCCGUCCCAACUUGUUCCUCAGCUCCAGCACUUCAUCAACAACUGAACCUCGGAGGAGAACCCCAGUGGCCAGCACAGAAGUGGUACCAGUGACUCUGUGGACAGAACUGGAGCAUUAGCUGACAGUCUGCUGAGGGUCGCUGGCUUCAUCUCAAAUGUACUUAUACUUACCCAAGUUAACAUGCCAUAUAUUGUACCUUCUUAGAGCUAUGAUGUACAAUUCUAAGGGAUGCUAUAAUAACUACAGGCCAUGACCCUGCCAUUACUGAGAUGCUACAAUGGAAAUGAACACAGUAACCGACUAGUCUGUAAAAAAAAAAAAAAAAAGUCGCAUACAACAGUGGUUUUCAUUCCUUUGGUUCAUUGCUAUGCAGCCAGUGCUGAGACACAUUCUGGGUACCCAGCAAAUAUUUGCUAAUUGAAUGAUUACUUUGUUAAAGCAUCUCACUUAUCAGCAAGAUAAAUUAAAAGCCCAUUCAUUUAAAAAGGAACUCUCAGUGUAUUUUCAAUCUUUCCCCCUUAGUCAAGAUCUACUCAGAGAAAUCUACCCACACUGUGUUUAAAUAACCAAUGUCUUUACUUAACUUGCCUGAGGAGAAAGAAAACACUAUCAAUAUACCCUGGAAGAUUCUGCAGGACAUCCAUUCUGCAGAUGAAAUGAAAAAUUCAAUCCCUGAGAAAAUAUUUUAAUAUCAUUCAGCAAAUGAGACUUUUCUCAAAGACUGUCAAAAGCAUUGUAUUUUGCUAUAUUGAUUAAUUUUCUGCAGAGAUUAGUGUGUGUGUGUGUGUGUGUGUGUGUGUGUGUGUGUGUGUGUGUGUGUGUUGUAUAUCAUCAAAGAGCCAAGAAAUAUUUCGUGACUAUGUAUCAGUACCAUGUGGAUGUUCUGAGUCAUAUUUAUAUCUAUGAUGAGUAGUGACAUUUCAUCAAGGGCAUAAGAACAUGGUACUAUUCAUCCUAGGUUUUAUGAGUUUAAGGGUCUGGAAAAUUGCAAGCAGUACCUAUGUCUAGGGAAGCCCCAAGGGCUCAGAAAAGCUGUGUGUGUGGGGUAGGGAGCUGUGAUAUUUCCCAGAUUUCUAACUCUUGAUAAAAUGACAAAUCUGAGUUUGUAGGGAAAGAUGUUAUGAGUUUACUUUUAGACUGUAAUCCCAGAAUUUGUGAGGCUGAUUGAGGAGGACCUUGACUUCAAGGCAGCCUGAGUGACAUAGGGAGACCCUGUCUGUGUUUUCCUUGUGUGAGCAUUGACCUGAAUUUGGAGUAUGUAUGUAUGUAUGUAUGUACGUACAUACUUACAUAUAUAUGCAUCUCACGGGCACCUAGAAGGUAAUAUGACUGUAGCUCAGAAUUUUAGUUUUAAACCAUCACCAAAUAUAGAUGUUUCUCAACUUAUAAGAGGUCUGACCUUCACAAACCCAUCACAAGUGGAAAUACUGUAUCCUAAAAUGCAUUUGAUAUACCUAUCCUAGGGAAAGUUAUAGUUUAGCAGCUGGUACAUUGCAGAGUGUGGGCUGUUUCACCUGGUGAUCUUGUGGCUGCCUAGGACAUGAGGAUGUCUGCCAUUGCUCAACAAGUAUUACACAGCAUAGUGCUAGCCCAGUAAAAGACCAACACUCAAAAUUUCCACUGAAUCCUUGUUGCUUUUGUACUACUACAUAACUGGAAAAUUGUAAGUAGAAUGCUUGUUAAGUAGAGGACCAUCUGUAGUGAUAUCUGGGGCUUUGGGCGUGGAUGAAAGCACCCAAAGAUAAAGAGCAUAUAAAAUGAGAAAAUAAGAGGGUUGAAGAUAGAAUGCUUGGAAACACCAUAAUUUAGGGGGCUGGCAGAAAAAGAGAAGCCAGCCAAGAAAUGGAACAGGACAGAAAGAUAUCACAUAAGCCCAGAGGGGGAUGGGAAGUACAGUCUGCUCAUGAAACGGUUAGCAGAUGAAGAUUGGAAAUAGCACAUUUGAAAAAUUACUAAUUGGAAGCACAUACAAAUAUUGGUAUACCUAUUCUGAGGGUAAAAUUUUAGGUUUCCCUCCCCGUGUGUGUGUGUGUGUGUGUGUGUGUGUGUGUGUGUGUGUGUACAUUCAUGCACAUGGUGGGGGCUGGAUUUCAUGUCCUUGCUCAUAUUAAGAAAAUAGUAACAGCUGAGCUAUAUCUUCAACCUUGUUUCUUUGAGUCAAGGUCUCCCUAUGUAGCCCAGGCUUGCCUAGAACUCAGGAUCAACCUCCCUCAGCCUCACACAUGCUGGGAUCACAGUUGUGUGCUACCAUGCUCAGCAAUUCUAUUUUCUUUCAGCUACUCUGUAUUUUCUGACUUUCCUAUAAUGGUAAUCAGUUACAUUUGUAUUAAAAUGUUAUUAUAAGGGUCCAGGUUGAUGGCUCAACAGUUAAAAGAAUACUCACCACUCUUGUAGAGGAACCAGGUUCAGUUUCUGAACUCCAAAUGCAGAUCCACAACCAUUCAUAUUCCUGUUCCAGGAGUUCUGAUGUCUUCUUUUGACUUCUGUGGGAUCUAGGCACAUACACAAUGCACAUAUAUACACCCAGGCAAAACACUCAUACACAUAAAAUAAUCUUUUAAAAUGUUAUUAAAGUAUAAAACAAAUGCUCUGAGAAAGUCUACACUAUUCCUACAGAACUUAGAGAAAGAAGCAGGGAAUUGUGAAUUCAAACAUACUUGAUCAUGUAUGUGCUAGGCACCAAGCUAAUGAUAAACAAGGAAUGUGAGGAAUACUCUGAUGUUCUAUAAAAAAAAAAAGGAAGCCAGCUGGCUUAGCAAGGGAUCGAUGCAGGUCUUUUAGGGUGCACUGGCAGCACAUGAGGUUAGAUGGCAGUCUGCCACCACAUUAAAUUGACUUUAUAUGUCCUAUAACUAAUAUGGCCUCUAUUCUGAAAGCUCCAGAUGGGUUUCUGAGGGGCAGAGAGAGGAGUAGAAUUGAGCUUUAAGUGAGGUAAGUUUCUGCUUAACUUUGAUAACAAUGUGUCUACUGGCCCAGAGGAACCCAAGGAAGGAGAUUGGGCAGGGUUCUCAGGAACUGCAAUGAUUUAAGGGAGUGCUCUAGGGAUGCCCUUUAUCCAGAGAAACUGGGGAAUUGCACAGACAUGUAUGGGACAUGAUUGAUUGUGACUGGAUGCAUACUGAUACAACCAAUUGGAUGGAUGUUGUGGGAAGGAAGGUAUCAAGGACAACUGCAAAAACCGAAACAGCCCAAGAAAACAUUUUGUUGCUUAUCAAACCACAAUACUUACAAUGGGACAUUGCUCUUUCUCAAACAGUGAGAUGGAGCUGUACUCAGAGCAGGCAGGUCCAGUUCCCGAUGGAGCAUCUCAAGAAGACUCAUGGAUGGGAGGCCAAUCAUCAGAAGCACACAGUUGGGACACUUUCUGUACCCAGCAAUGGGUGUUCCAGGCCAGCCUCUGUGCAUGGCCAUAAGUCAUUAGGAUUUGUGAGUAUGUCCUGUCUAGAUUCCCCGAGUUUUCACCACUGAGGCAACUAUUGUCAUGGAUACCAGGGUGACACUGGUUGGCCCCACCAGAUCUCAUUGUUUCUUUCUCACCUUGGGCCUACACUUAAAGGAUGGUGAACUGACACUGGAAUGAACCAGAAGUUCAGACACACACCUUUCUUCCCUUCCUCUCCCUGUUCUAGGGAAGACAAUCAUCUGGGUACGGAUUAAAAUCAACAGAUACAGACAGCACAUGCCUAUAAUUCCAGGACUCAAGAGCUAAGGCAGGAACAUCUUUUGUUCCAGGACUACUUGGGCUACAGUUCUGGCUAGCCUGGAAGAUCCUGUGUAAAACCAGACAGAGACAUGAACAAACAAACGAACAAAUGAGCAAAAAUAAAAUGAGCAGAUCAGCCUCAAAGAAAACAACAAUAAGAAGGGGCUGUGGAGAUGACUUGGUGGGGAAGAGUGCUUGCCUUGAAAGCAUGGGGAAUUGAGUUCAAAUCCCAAUACUCACUUGAAAAGCUGGGCUAUGUGCCCACCUAAUUCCAGUGCUGUGACUAGCAGAGACAUGAAGACUGUUGGAGCAGCUGGCUGCCAGUCUAGUUCUAGAUUCAGUGAGAAACCUUGUCUUAAAGCAGUACUGUAGAGAAUGACAGAGCAGGGCACUCUGGCCUCUGUGAGUACAUGACUCGCAAGCACGCGCGUGCGCGCACGCACACAUACACACACACACACACACACACACACACACACACACACACACAAACACACACCACAUGUACUCAUGCACACAAAAAGUAUGCAAGAAAAGAAUGGCUGGUGGUUAUGAGGUUUUUAACUUAGGUGCCUAGUUGAUAAAGAGGGACAACUAUCUCAAAGUUUGUAUACUCUCAUGGUUAUUGAUGUAUAUAAAAUAUGAAAGCAAGGUUUGUACAGUGUUAUUAGGGGAGGAAUAAAGGACAAUGUGUGCCUGAGGGAAAUCUAUUUUUAAGACAAGACAGAGUCCUUAAUCUCACCUAUUUCCUUCCGCAAGUACAUGGGUACACUUCCUUUUCCUGUCUGUGGAAUGACAAACAGGAGGUAGAAUUAGCUUUCAGAUGUGUACACAUAGGUAGUUACAAUCUCCUAGGAUGGGACCUUCUCUAAUGGCUAGAGAAGGACUAUGAAACUGUAAGCCAAGAAAGAAACAGGUGUAACUAAAUGCAACAAAAUACUUUUAAAGUUAAAAGGCCAAAGAGGAGGUUCCAAGUGAGCUGGCCCAGUAGAGCUAAUAGGCAAUAGCUGCUGCACCUGUCAUAGGUACCCGGCCUUCUUCUUGAAUUCUUUAUCAUCUCCACUGUACAGCGUGGAGGACAGCGGCCAAGGAUGUCCAGCUAAUAAGGGGUCAAAUUUGAACUCGGCUAUAAGUAAUUUGCAGUAUUAGCUUUCCCUCCAGGGCCAGCCACAACCAAGACAUUUUAAGUUAAGUAAUACACAGCCUUGCCCAUCUCAUCUUGCAAAGAAUGGAACAUGAAAGUAGCCUUGGAGAGUGACUUACUUGGGGAAGGCCUUUCUAAUCAUCCUAGCUCCCACACAGAGUGCCAGGCUGCCCCUUCACCACUCACCCCCAGUAGAAGAUCCAAUAAAGUAGAGAGGCAAGUAAUGCUCUCUUUUCAGCUGACUUCGUUCCUAACAUUCCUUUGCAACGGGCGACUCUCCAAGAUAAGUUUCUGUGUGCAGCCUGAGCACAGAGGUUCUGAACAGUUAACACACAGGUCAGAAAGGGUCCCCAGGCUUCCCAGCCUCCCUCUGGUCCUUCCCACCUUCAGGUAGGAUGCAGAGACAGGUACCUCCUUCCUUCCCCAUGGCCACUAGCUGGUGGCCAGAUCCCAAGCCUGCGCCUGGCCCGCCACUUCUGGAGCCCCCUCUCCAGCGUGGCCACGGUGAAAAGCGAGCGACCCUCGGCGCGAGCCACACACUCACGCGCUACCGCUUGUUGCUCCCCGCAGCCGCGACGUGGGGAAGUGAAAAUGAAAUUGACUUUUCCGAGAAAUGAUGAAAGCCGCGCUGCCCGCCAAUGAACAGCGGCGGCGAACUUCCGCACCUCCCGGCUGGCGGCUGGAGCCCUCCCUCUGCCUCCACCUCCG